UUUCCACGUUCUCAGAGUCUACGGACAAGCGAACACAAACCACUGGGAGAUGUCCUGCCAGACAGAGAUGAAUAGGACGGCCGGCGGGCGUGCGCUGCUGGACACAGCCCCAGGCUCAGUGCUCAGGACUACUGCUGACCCACCAGAUGAGCUGGCUCUGCCCAGGGAUAGAUGGUACAGAUAUUCCUUUCCCGUCCUGCCCUGUGCUUUGGUGGCUGUUUGUGUGCCGGAUCUCGAUGGCUCAGGCUCUGCCCAGGGAUAGAUGGCUGAACCAGAAGGCCGAGUCCCUCAGCUGAAGUGCAAGGCAUCAUAGUUAAAUCAAGAUCUCUGCAUUUUGGGCCCCUUUCUAUGGCAGAAAAGAAGCAAAGAUUCAAUAAGAAGCGCAAGCGUAUUCUGCCAAUCUGAGUCUGUUUUUUUUGUUUGUUUUUGAAGAGCAGAAUCUGUAAAAACUAUUUUUUUCUGCUAGAUUUUCAAGUGAUAGCAAGAUGCUCUUGUGUCAGUCUGGAUCUUAGCAACGCUGUGUGGAAAGGAUCUAUGCAACAGAAAGGAAUGUUUGAGAGCUUCCUUGCAUUCUGGCUGUGUGGGCAGCCUCUGGGAAUCCCAACUGGGGCAGAAAUCAGUGCCACGGCCCUAUGCUCCUGGAAAGGUCCUUCCUAUUCCAUGGCCUUCCAAAAAUGGGCUCUUCUGAAGUGAAGGUGCUGCCACGUGCCCAGUAGGCGAUAUGAGCAAAAGAUGUUGGUGGGCAGUGCUUUGAGACUGUCUUUGUAGCAGGUUAAAAAAAUAAAAAUAAAAAAUCAUGAGUUGUCCUCCUUCUGCCCUGUGCAUCUUGUUGAGUACAGUUCUCCCCACCCUCAGUGGAAAUGGGCCAGAGCAGUGCCUGCAGAGCCAGAAAGCAGUGCGCCAGUGCUGGAACAGUUCUAUAAGUAAUCCCAAAUUUAACUUCAGACAGUAAAUUUCUUAAUUCACUUCAUGAACAGU